CUCCACUGCGCCGAGAUGGGGAUGAGGACUUGGCGACGGGGUGGGGAGGGACAAACAAACGGUCAGGCACACGGAUGAUCACAGACAGACUGCCGAGGAUUCGCAGUCUGUCGGGGCUAGCCUGGCGGUGGAUCCCGUGCGUAGGGACAUCUCGGCGGCCGCGGCUCAGACUCCGGACCUCGGAAAGUGAGUCCGAGAUGGAUCAGACCCACUCUGAUCCUGUCGGGGCUAGGACUAAUCCCGGACUAAGGGGUCCCCUUCCGACGCAGAUGGGACAAAGAAAUUACCGGUGAACAGGAAGAAGGAAAGAAGGACUGCGUAGUCACCAGCCUUGUUUGGGGAUUAUGUCAAAGGUCUGUGUGAAUGUGAGGCCAGGACCAAAUGUCAACAACCAAAGACCAACAACCAUGGGAGAUGAAGAAACUGAGGCCUGGAGAGAAUAAGGAGCUGCCAGUGUCACACAACUACAGAGAGAGCUGGGAUCUCCUGCUUUCCACUGAUGAGGAAACCGAAACUCAGAGAGACGGGACUCACCCAAGGUCACACCUGCACUGAGUGACAGGGCCGAAAUGUGAAUUCAGGAACCUCCCGGCCCUGCCAGAGGAUGGCAGCUUUCCCGGGCGCCGGGAGUUAAUGGAAGGAGGCAAAGCACACGUUCGCGCAGCACCGCGGCAGGCCCCAUGGCGCCAGGCCUCCGGGCGGGCGUUAUCCAGCCCAUUUAACGACGAGUACACUGAGGCCAGAGACGGCAGUGACCGAUCCAAGGCCAACGGGGCGGUGUCCGGACUCGAACCCACGGUCGAUAGAGCCUGCAGGAGGGCCAGCCUCCCGCCCCGCCGCGCCCGCCGCCAUUAGCGCCCACGGCCCUAGCUGCACCCCCGCCCCUCCCUGCCCCCUCCCGCCGC